rnacentral:misc_RNA from 1 species
UUUCCUGGGAGACCUUCCCAACCUGGGGCUGUGUUUCCAACUGGUGGAUUUGGCGUGAUGAUGGGUCCAGGACGUGCUCCUUUUGUGGGGGCAAUGGGCCCAGCUGCUACAAAUCCACUUCGAGGUAAUCGACCAAGCAGUAUACCAUUUCCACCACUCUCUACGCCAUCCACUCAAAACAGCAACAGACCAGUUAAGAGAGAUCAGAGGACAGCGGCUAAUGAUAGGAAUGACAGAUACAGUACAGGAUCAGACCAAGGCAGGGUUUCAGUUGGUGGACCUGAUGAUGGGGGACAAUACCAGCAGGAGGGAAUAAAGGCUUUCUCAUGAUAAUCAAUUUGGUGCAGGAAACAGCUUUAGAAAUGAUGAAAGUGAAA